GAUGAUUUACAAAUAUAAACAUCAUAUGACUAAUCACAAUACAAUUACAAAAUCAGUCUAUAUACUAUAAUGUAAGGGCAAAAAUAUGAAUUAUUACAUUGGUUAGAUGUAAAAAAAAAAAAAAAUUAUUACAUUGGUUAAUGAAAUUAGCUCGAGUUUUCUCUGUACAGAUGGAGAUGUCAUGAACAACUCGAAUUCAGAUAGCUCUGACAUCGACCUCAUGGAUGGUGUGUUGUCCGAUAUAGAUAAUGAUGGUAGCCCAUUAAGGCAAACAUAUGACUAUAGUAGUCCUGGAG
rnacentral:lncRNA from 1 species